CUGGUGUGUUUAUAUUAUUUUAGAAUUUGCUGUUUUAGACAUGUGGCUUGUGAUAUCCCACUAAUUAGCUAUUUUAAACAUGUGACAAGUGGUAUGACACUGUAUUAAUGUAUGUGAAAUGUAUAGAGUCUUUCAGUUAUCAGAUAAUGUCAAGGAGUUGACAGCAUGGUGUCGAUUUAAAGUGCGAACCUUUGUGCGAGUAACAACAGUAUUCAAAACCAAAACCUAUUUAAACCAACCAAACCAAAACUAGCGACUAAAAUCUAAUAUCUUGGCAUUGGUUUAUUUUAAACAUCUAUUACAUAUAUAUGUGUGUGUUUUAU
rnacentral:lncRNA from 1 species